rnacentral:rRNA from 1 species
AUUGAACGCUGGCGGCAUGCCUUACACAUGCAAGUCGAACGGCAGCACGGGAGCAAUCCUGGUGGCGAGUGGCGAACGGGUGAGUAAAGCAUCGGAACGUGCCCAGUCGUGGGGGAUAACGUAGCGAAAGCUACGCUAAUACCGCAUACGAUCUGUGGAUGAAAGCGGGGGACCGUAAGGCCUCGCGCGAUUGGAGCGGCCGAUGUCAGAUUAGGUAGUUGGUGAGGUAAAGGCUCACCAAGCCGACGAUCUGUAGCUGGUCUGAGAGGACGACCAGCCACACUGGGACUGAGACACGGCCCAGACUCCUACGGGAGGCAGCAGUGGGGAAUUUUGGACAAUGGGCGCAAGCCUGAUCCAGCAAUGCCGCGUGCAGGAUGAAGGCCUUCGGGAUGUAAACUGCUUUUGUACGGAGCGAAACGGCUUCCACUAAUACUGGGGGCUAAUGACGGUACCGUAAGAAUAAGCACCGGCUAACUACGUGCCAGCCGCCGCAGUAAUAC